rnacentral:lncRNA from 1 species
AUAGAAAUAGGAUUAUAUUUAUUCAAACUAACAAAAUCAUAGAUAAAAUACAAUUUAUAUUUAAGAUUUGUAUGGUAAUACGUACAAUUUUUAUUAUCGAUUUAGUAAAGGAUUGUAAAGAUAAUAAUCAUUAAAAAAAACUGAUAGCAACAAAAAUUAGAACCAUAAAAGAAUAAUAAUUUUUAACUAAUAAAUAGGCAUCAAAAAAUAAAAAAAAUUAACAAAUAAAAUAAUAUAUAAAAAAUAGGAAUCAUAUAUUAAUUUUAUGAUAAUGUAAAUGGGUCUUGAUUAGUAUUGUGUUUGACAGGCACGGGAGGCGGCCCAAACUAAUUUUUAUCUAAAUAAUAAUAAAUUUUUUAUUAGUAUUAUGUUUGCCGGGAAAGUCGUUAAAAUAAUUUUAUUAAAAGAAUAAUAAUUUUUAACUAAUAAAUAGGAAUCAAAAAAUAAAAAUAAUUAACAAAUAAAAUAAUAUAUAAAAAAUAGGUAUCAUAUAUUGAUUUUAUGAUAAAGUAAAUGGUUCUUGAUUAGUAUAUCGUUUGACGGGCACAAGAGGCGGCCCAAACUAAUUUUUAUCCAAAUAAUAAUAAAUCUUCUAUUAGUAUUAUGUUUGACGGUAAAGUCGCUAAAAUAAUUUUUUAUCUAUGUUAUAAUAUAUUUUUUUGUUACACAAUUCAAAAUAAUCUUUAAUUUUGUCAUAAUUAGAAUAAGUUUUAUUAGUAUUGUGUUUGACACUAAAACGACUCAAACUAAUAUAUAAAUUAUAAUGUUUUGUUAUAAGUAUUGUGUCUGACAAGAGAGCGGCUCAAACUAAUUUUGAUCUAAAUUAUAAUAUUUAAUUUAUCAUAAAAAUAAUAAUUAUGGAUUAAUAUUGUCUUUGACGGGAGGGGGGUUCGAACUAAUUUUUUUAUUUGUGUUGUGUUUGGCAGGAUGAUCACUUAAACAAAUUUUUAUAUCAAUUAUAAUAUUUUUUAUUUAUGAUAUGUUUAAUGGGAAGAUGACUCAAAAUAAUUUUUAUCCUAUUAUAAUUCUGA